AAGUAGAAGACUUUAAAAUGAUUUCGCCAAUAUUUAUGAGUUGCAAUAUUUAUAUUUACAACGAAACCCGAUUUGGGCUUCGAAACGUUAAUAAAUUCAUUUUUUAGUAAAAUUGUGGCUUAUUUCCCAUAAAAAAAUACUUAAUCUUACUAUUCUUGUAUAUUAUACCAAUUAUACCAUUGAUUGCAAUUAUACAAGAAUCAAACAAAUAAAGUAUGGCAACACUGCAAAUUCCAAAUAACUGAAGGUUACUAGAUCCAUUCCUGAACUGGUCUGGAUUCGUAAUUCCUAGGGACGUCCGUAAUCGUACUUCCUGGGGACGUCCGAUUAAGGUCCCAUUACAUUCUGACUUAGCGGGACCUGAAACAGACGUCCUGGGGACGCCCGUAUUCGUACUUCCUGGGGACGUCUGGAUUUGUAAUUCCUGGGAACGUCCGAUUGAGGUCCCCGUACAUUCGGACUUAAUCGGGACCUGAAACGGACGUCCUCGGGAUGUCAUGUGCUAUCUGGGAUAUCAAGUUGAUCGCACUUGGUUUGAAUACGCUUCUGCUUUAGCUUUUGCUACUGCUACUUUCGCUUCCUUUUUGGCGACCAUAUAGUUUGUACUCACUUUAUAAUGCUCAAAAAAUUACGGGAUCUGGAUUUCAAUUUCAAUGUAUAUUUUUUUUAUAAUUCUCGUAUGGCGUAUGGGGGCGACCAGGGCCUAGAUUCCGUGCACUGUAGAUAUCUACAGUCGCUUUCUGUCGAUGGCAAUUGUCAUGAAAAUAAUUGAAUUUUUAGUUUUAAUUCAAAUAUUUUCUUGUUUUACUAAGUGUCACUUCAGCAUCAAUUAGAGUAUAACCUAGCAAAACUAGAAAAUAAUUCAAUUAAAGCUAAAAAUUCAAAUAUUUUCAUGACACGUGACAUCGAUAGAAGGCGACUGUAGAUAUCUACAGUGCACGGAAUCCAGGCCCAGUUCUUUACCGAUUUAUUCUACGGACGUGGCAACACUGCCAAACAUUCUUGGGAGAGAUUAAAUAUCCAGCACGCAACCGCACUGUUGCCAGAUUUACUUCUUUUCUUUUAGCGGGAAUUUUAAAAUAUCUAAUGUCAGUUGGUUUAAAAUUUGACAGUUGUAUUUUUUUGAUUCCGAAUCUUAACCUUACUUUACAGGUGAUUUGAUUAUGUACAAAAAAUGUACAAUGUAAAUAAAUUGAACCAAGUAAUGUACUAAAAUAUGCUAUGUUAUAAUUUAAAACUCGUUAUGUUAGUCUUUUGAAAAGAAUUAAACUCAAAAGAGAUAUACUUGUUUACAGUGCAAAUUAAUGGCAAUAAUAGGGAUUUACGAUUUAAUUUGCAGGAAAAACAUGGGCAACCUACCCAGUUGGUAAAAUUUGUAGAUUUUACUGUGUGGAUGUCACAGAAAGAGAAACAAAAUAAUAUUCAGUCACAGGAGUACAAGAACAUGAAACAUCUUAUUAUGUAUGUAUGCCAUUCUCAAACAAUUAUUGUACAAAACAAGAUAGAGAAGAGCUUUAAAAUCCCAAGGAUCCUGCAAAAAGAAAAGUGAAAAUGUUGUCUCAAUUAAUGUAGUAUAGAUAGACAUUUUUCUUUAUUUUAGUAUUAAAUAAUUAUUUAGAAUAUUAAUAGGUAUUAGUUUUAAUAGUAUUAAUAUGUAUUGUAUGAAUAAUUCCCAUCAUAUAACUUCUGGCUAAAGUUACAAAAUAAAUAAGAAUGAAAAAACAUUUAA
rnacentral:lncRNA from 1 species